AUCGCUUCUCGGCCUUUUGGCUAAGAUCAAGUGUAGUACAAGGAACUCUGUCAUUUAGAAGUAAUAUUGUUUUGGGGUCAACGCUGUGGCAUAAUAGUAGGCUAAACUUCCACCUGUGGUUCAGGCAUCCCAGUGCUGAUUCAUGUCCGAGAUGUUCU
ensembl:snRNA U2 U2 spliceosomal RNA